rnacentral:rRNA from 1 species
AGUGAACGCUGGCGGUAGGCCUAACACAUGCAAGUCGAACGGCAGCACAGAGGAGCUUGCUCAUUGGGUGGCGAGUGGCGGACGGGUGAGGAAUACAUCGGAAUCUACUCUGUCGUGGGGGAUAACGUAGGGAAACUUACGCUAAUACCGCAUACGACCUACGUGUGAAAGAAGGGGAUCUUCGGACCUUGCGCGAUUGAAUGCGCCGAUGUCGGUGUAGCUAGUUGGCGGGGGAAAGGCCCACCAAGGCGACGAUCCGUAGCUGGUCUGAGAGCAUUAUCAGCCACACUGGGCUUGAGACACGGUCCAGACUCCGACGGGAGGCAGGAGUGGGGGAUAUUGGUCAAUGGGCGCAAGCCUGAUCCAGCCAUACCGCGUGGGUGAAGAAGGCCUUCGGGUUGUAAAGCCCUUUUGUUGGGAAAGAAAUCCAUCUGGUUAAUACCCGGGUGGGAUGACGGUACCCAAAGAAUAAGCACCGGCUAACUUCGUGCCAGCAGCCGCCGUAA